UUGGAUUUUGGGCCGGGCUGGUCUCGUAUGGGCCCGAUGAUCGGGCCCAUUAAGAUUUAAUUUUGAACUUGUUUUAGCCUAUUUUUAAUUACUGUUUUAAAUAUUAAUAAAAUAGUAGUAAAAAAAAUCUCAAAAAAAAUAUAAAAAAUACAAAAAAAUAUAAAUUACAUUUUAACCCCUCUACUUUUUAAAAUUUACAUUUUGACCCCAAAAUUUUCUUUAAAUUACACUUUGACCCCUAAUAUUUCGUAAAUUACAGUCAAGCCCCUAAACUUUCCAGAAAUUACAUUUUUGCCCUAUAUUUUCCUAAAAUCGCAUUUUUGCCCCAGAAACUUUACACCCGUUACAAUUUAGUCCUUCUGGGCAUGACAAGACUGCCCCCAACCAGCAUCCGGGCGUGCACCGCACCCUACGCCUGACACCGCCAAUCAGCCAUGCUCCCCACCUCCAUGCCACCUGAAAACAAGAAGGAAAAAGACAAAAUUGAAAGAUUAAAAGGAGAAAAUUGAAGAGAAAGGUGGGGAUUUUUGGGCAGCCAAAAACAAAAAAAAACAGCAGAGAAAAGAGAAAAAAAACAGCAGCAAGCCAAAAGCCUCCACCACCACCCUCCCGCAACCAUCGUCGUCGCACCACCAUUGUGACGCCACCACCACCGUCACACCUACACAAAUGAGGGAAGCAACAAGCAAAUUAUAAAAGCAACAAGCAAAGAAAAAAUAGCAACCAAAAAGAAAAGGAAGAAAGAAAAGAAGAGAAGAAGAAAGAAAGAGAGAAGAGGAGAGGCCGACGAUCGUCACACCGGACGGAGGAGGCGGCGGCGGCGUAGUGACUUGGGGCUAAGGUGACCCGAAGAAGAAAGAAAAAAGAAAGAAAAAAGAAGGAAAAAGGGAAAGAAAAUAGAAAUAUAUAUAUAUAUGCCGGGCUAACCCGACCUGAUGACCCGGAUCCGACCCGCGCCCGACCCAGCCAGCAGCCAACAGGCCAACAGCAGGCCACUCCAACUGUUGGGCAGCAGCCCACUAAGGCCCAAUUCGCAGCAAAAAAAAAGAGGCC
rnacentral:lncRNA from 1 species